rnacentral:rRNA from 1 species
GACGAACGCUGGCGGCGCGCUUAACACAUGCAAGUCGAACGGAAAGGCCUGCUUUCCCUUGUGGAUUGCGGGUACUCGAGUGGCGAACGGGUGAGUAACACGUGAGUUAUCUGCCCCCAACUUGGGUAUAAGCCUGGGAAACUGGGUCUAAUUCCCGAUAGGACUGCAGGGUGGUGCCUGUGGUGGAACACGAUUUUCUAGUGGUUGGGGAUGAGCUCGCGGCCUAUCAGCUUGUUGGUGGGGUAAUGGCCUACCAAGGCGGCGACGGGUAGCCGGCCUGAGAGGGUGGACGGCCACAUUGGGACUGAGAUACGGCCCAGACGCCUACGGGAGGCAGCAGUGGGGAAUAUUGCACAAUGGGCGGAAGCCUGAUGCAGCGACGCCGCGUGGGGGAUGACGGCCUUCGGGUGGUAAACUCCUUUCGACCGCGAGGAAGCCACCUGGUUGGAAGGGUGGUGACGGUAGUGGUAGAAGAAGCACCGGCUAACUACGUG